UGAAAAACCGGUUGUCAGAGGAGGAACUCAAGCCUGUACUUAAUCUCAUUAAAGAAAAACUGAAGAUCUUUACUAAGAAUGAACGAGAGUGUAAGAAAACCGCAGAACACGUGAGGAGUCAAACCCAGCACACAGAGAGGCAGAUAAAGGCAGAUUUUGAAAGGCUGCACCAGUUCCUACGAGAGGAAGAGGAGGCCAGACUAGCUGUACUGAAGGAGGAAGGGGAGGUGAAGAGUCGGAUCAUGGAGGAGAAAUUGGCAGACAUCACAAGACACCUCUCCACCCUUACAGACAAAAUCACCGCUAUAGAGAAGGCCAUGGACACUGAAGACACCUCCUUUUUAAAGGUAGGAGCUUGAUUU